UAUUGCACAAUGGGGGAAACCCUGAUGCAGCAACGCCGCGUGAAGGAAGACGGUUUUCGGAUUGUAAACUUCUUUUCUUAGUGAAGAAGAAAGUGACGGUAGCUAAGGAAUAAGCAUCGGCUAACUACGUGCCAGCAGCCGCGGUAAUACGUAGGAUGCGAGCGUUAUCCGGAAUUACUGGGUGUAAAGGGAGCGCAGGCGGGACUGCAAGUUGGAUGUGAAAUGCCGCAGCUUAACUGCGGAGCUGCAUCCAAAACUGUAGUUCUUGAGUGGAGUAGAGGCAAGCGGAAUUCCGAGUGUAGCGGUGAAAUGCGUAGAUAUUAGGAGGAACACCAGUGGCGAAGGCGGCUUACUGGACGAUAACUGACGCUGAGGCUCGAAAGCGUGGGGAGCAAACAGG
rnacentral:rRNA from 1 species